rnacentral:rRNA from 1 species
GAUGAACGCUGGCGGUAUGCUUAACACAUGCAAGUCGAACGGACUCUUCGGAGUUAGUGGCGGACGGGUGAGUAACGCGUGAGAAUCUGGCUUUGGGUUCGGGACAACCACUGGAAACGGUGGCUAAUACCGGAUGUGCCGAGAGGUAAAAGAGAAAUUGCCUGAAGAUGAGCUCGCGUCUGAUUAGCUAGUUGGUGAGGUAAAGGCUCACCAAGGCAGCGAUCAGUAGCUGGUCUGAGAGGAUGACCAGCCACACUGGGACUGAGACACGGCCCAGACUCCUACGGGAGGCAGCAGUGGGGAAUUUUCCGCAAUGGGCGAAAGCCUGACGGAGCAAUACCGCGUGAGGGAAGAAGGCUCUUGGGUUGUAAACCUCUUUUCUUAGGGAAGAACAAAAUGACGGUACCUAAGGAAUAAGCAUCGGCUAACUCCGUG